AUCAUACAUAAUAUAUCACCACGUUGA
rnacentral:piRNA from 1 species